GACGAACGCUGGCGGCGUGCCUAAUACAUGCAAGUAGAACGCUGAAGAGAGGAGCUUACUCUUCUUGGAUGAGUUGCGAACGGGUGAGUAACGCGUAGGUAACCUGCCUUGUAGCGGGGGAUAACUAUUGGAAACGAUAGCUAAUACCGCAUAACAAUGGAUGACACAUGUCAUUUAUUUGAAGGGGGCAAUUGCUCCACUACAAGAUGGACCUGCGUUGUAUUAGCUAGUAGGUGAGGUAAUGGCUCACCUAGGCGACGAUACAUAGCCGACCUGAGAGGGUGAUCGGCCACACUGGGACUGAGACACGGCCCAGACUCCUACGGGAGGCAGCAGUAGGGAAUCUUCGGCAAUGGGGGCAACCCUGACCGAGCAACGCCGCGUGAGUGAAGAAGGUUUUCGGAUCGUAAAGCUCUGUUGUAAGUCAAGAACGGGUGUGAGAGUGGAAAGUUCACACUGUGACGGUAGCUUACCAGAAAGGGACGGCUAACUACGU
rnacentral:rRNA from 1 species